AUUGAACGCUGGCGGCAGGCCUAACACAUGCAAGUCGAGCGGAGCGGCGGACGGGUGAGUAAUGCCUAGGAAUCUGCCUGGUAGUGGGGGAUAACGUCCGGAAACGGGCGCUAAUACCGCAUACUAUCAGAUGAGCCUAGGUCCGAUUAGCUAGUUGGGGGGGUAAAGGCCUACCAAGGCGACGCUCCGUAACUGGUCUUAGAGGAUGCACAGUCACACUGGAACUGAGACACGGUGCAGACGCCUGCGUGAGGCAGCAGUGUGGAAUAUUGGACCAGUGGCGAAAGCCUGAUCCAGCCAUGCCGGGUGUGUGAAGAAGGUCUUCGGAUUGUAAAGCACUUUAAGUUGGGAGGCGUUACCAACAUAAUAAGCACCGGAUAACUUCGUGCCAGCAGCCGCGGUAAUAC
rnacentral:rRNA from 1 species